UCUCGCUAGCUUAUCAAUACAAAGUUUAUUUCUUGUUCACAUUAAAGUCCAAUGUGGGCUGUGCUUCCAUAGGUUAUUUUCUCUUGUGUAAUUCCAGAUGAGUUUAUCUUAUAAUGUUGCCACAUUUGCCUCCAAAGUCACUUUAUAAAAGGAAAGUAAAAUCUGAAAUACUGCACAUGAAGGUUUAAGAGCUAGGCUCAGAAAUGAUACACAACUUUCCAACUUACAUUUCAGCACCCAGAAUUCAGUCAAGUGAUCCAGAUCUUACUGCAAAUGAGGCUGAAAAAUGAAGUCUUACGUGUCCAAGAAAAAGACAUAAUAAGGUGUGGAAAAAUAAGAAUGUUCAAAACAUAGUUGGAACAGAGGAAAGUGGUGGAAAAAUUGACUGAUCUCAUGGCACACAGAUGUAUGGGUAUGAUGACCGCAAGAGAACUUGAACCUUAACU